CGCCGGCGUGGAGUGGGGGCAGCGGCGGCAGUGGUGCAGGAACGACAGUGACAGCGCGCACCGGCGUAACUGUUAAAGCGGCGUUCGCGCCUCGGCACAACGCUCCGAGACGACCAAGAACAGGCCGGAACGGUCCCGAUGGGCGGAGCCUCGCGGAGGCGGCUCCCUUUACCGUUGGACCGCGCGACGGGACGCCAUUGUUUUCGCGGCGCGGUGCCCGUUCGACGCACGCCGACGCCCGGCGUCGCGACUCCACUCUCGCACGCAACGCCGUCGUGGCCGUCGUCGUCGUCAUCCGCCUGCCUCUUUUCUCUGCCUUCGUUCGGCUGGCCGCUCGAAUUUCUGCGCCAAGAGCUAAUUUGUUUACGAGCCACCGUUUCUACUGCAGUUUCGGACUAGCAUCGGACUCGGUCCGCCAUGUUCCCGAGACUGUGCGCUCGCGUCUUUAUCGCUGGGGUUGUUUGGCAAGUGAAGACGAACGUGUAGACACAGGUCGAGGAACGAGGAAUGAGACACGGAGUCGGUCAGCCAUCGCGAGAAUCUUGGUGGACGUCGACGAUGAAACUGUAAAUUUCUGUUUUAAUAUUACCGAUACUCCGAAGACGAUGUUAAACGAAACGAACAAGUACCGUCGACACUAAAAAUAAACAUUUCUUCGAGCAAAA